AGCGAACGCUGGCGGCAGGCCUAACACAUGCAAGUCGAACGAACCCUUCGGGGUUAGUGGCGGACGGGUGAGUAACACGUGGGAACGUGCCUUUAGGUUCGGAAUAACUCAGGGAAACUUGUGCUAAUACCGAAUGUGCCCUUCGGGGGAAAGAUUUAUCGCCUUUAGAGCGGCCCGCGUCUGAUUAGCUAGUUGGUGAGGUAAUGGCUCACCAAGGCUACGAUCAGUAGCUGGUCUGACAGGAUGACCAGCCACAUUGGGACUGAGACACGGCCCAAACUCCUACGGGAGGCAGCGGUGGGGAAUCUUGCGCAAUGGGCGAAAGCCUGACGCAGCCAUGCCGCGUGGAUGAUGAAGGUCUUAGGAUUGUAAAUCCUUUCACCGGUGAAGAUAAUGACUGUAGCCGGAGAAGAAGCCCCGGCUAACUUCGUGCCAGCCGCCGCGGUAAGAC
rnacentral:rRNA from 1 species